UUGGAUUCUUGGAUUUAGUUGAUUUUAUCUUCACGUAAGAAAAAUGUUAUCAGGAAUUGAUGGUUGGAUUAUCUAUAUGAAUUUCAUUUGGUAGUCAGUGUUUGUGUGCAUUCUCCCCCAAUCAUGCAAAGUGAAAACAGAAUUUUGGAUUCUUGGUUUGCCUCCAGAUGUAAGUUCUACUUUCUGGGCAAAAAGUGAACUGAAGAAGCCAUUCUUUUUCCUCUAGUUAUUAAUCUGACUAAUUGCAAUGUGGAGAAUUAAUCAAUAUUAUCCCACUCAAUAGUAGAAAAAUAACAGAGGCAGGUUUAUUACAUGACUUUAGGACGAUAAGCUAAAGGUUUUAAGGAGAUAACGAAAUUGAAAAAUCUAUCAUUUAUGAUAAGUUAAGAACGUCCAUCAAACCAACUUCCUAUUAUUUUCGAAAAAGGUAAAAGAUAAGUUAAUUUUUUAGUAUGAUAGCAUGUCGUUUGAUUGUAAACAAACAUAAAAUUUCAGGUUCUCUCGGGUUUAUCGAGAAGGAUGAGGAAAGGUUGAGCUACAGAAAGAAAAUUAAAAUUAAAUUGAAACUUUUAUUUUCCUCAAUUGAAAUAAUUGUGGGAUCCGAAAUUGCAUUUAAUAAUACAAGGUCUUGAAUCUAAAUGAAAAGUCUUGAAUAUAAAUGAAUGCAUUAAGCCCAAGAGAACAACAUCAACUGAAAUAGAAAGUAUAAUCACGCAUGUUGUAUCAAUAUACUCAUGCCGUCGUGUAAGGACUUAACAUCUUCUCACCACUAUAGUAAAAAACUAACAUCUGGAAUUGAUGUUUGCGUUGUCUGUAUGAAUUUUGGGUCGUUCCAUUUUGUCUCUCUUUGAUUUUCUGUUUCCUUUUCUUCACUUUUGCUUUUCUGUUUUCACUUUGCUUUCCUGUUUGCUUUUCUGUUUGCCUUUUGCUUAUCUCCGUCUUCAUCUCGCUCUCUUCGUGUUGGAUCCUUCGGUUGUCUGGCGAUUUUGUUUCCGGGUGUUGGUCUCUGUUAUCAUCGGCGAUCCCGGAGUUGGGACUGACCUUCCGGCGAAUUUUUGUCAGUUUGACGGCGUCGCGGUUUGGACUGUUGUCGGACAAGUUGAAUUGAACUCAGCAGGCUUCCUCUCGCCGUCUCCACAACCCACUUCGCCCAGCUCGAUUCACCGUCUCAACCACCACCUCAACAUCGACCACGAGACCUUCCAGGUGUUAGAUCAAACUGUACCUUCAACCCUCGAGAAGGUGAUCUAGGUGAAGGUUGUAAAAAUGAGCAUUUGAAGAGGAGGAGACAAUAAGAAGUACAAGGGGAUGCAUUUGGCUCCCACUUUUGAGUUUACUACCAUGAGCAGGUUCUCAAAAACAGGCAACUGGUCAGAUUAAGAAAAAACAUUUUUUUUCUUAAUUUGAUAUAAAGUUUGAAUUUUAAAUUCUGAGUUGGAUUUAGUUCUUCAUUAAUUUGAUGGGUUUGAAUUAAAUGGAAGAAGUUUGCUUUCAUUAAUGCAUAAAUUAUUGAUUGUUUUA